GAUGAACGCUGGCGGCGUGCCUAAUACAUGCAAGUCGAGCGAACAGAUGAGGAGCUUGCUCCUCUGACGUUAGCGGCGGACGGGUGAGUAACACGUGGAUAACCUACCUAUAAGACUGGGAUAACUUCGGGAAACCGAAGCUAAUACCGGAUAAUAUAUUGAACCGCAUGGUUCAAUAGUGAAAGACGGUUUUGCUGUCACUUAUAGAUGGAUCCGCGCCGCAUUAGCUAGUUGGUAAGGUAACGGCUUACCAAGGCGACGAUGCGUAGCCGACCUGAGAGGGUGAUCGGCCACACUGGAACUGAGACACGGUCCAGACUCCUACGGGAGGCAGCAGUAGGGAAUCUUCCGCAAAGGGCGAAAGCUUGACGGAGCAACGCCGCGUGAGUGAUGAAGGUCUUCGGAUCGUAAAACUCUGUUAUUAGGGAAGAACAAAUGUGUAAGUAACUAUGCACGUCUUGACGGUACCUAAUCAGAAAGCCACGGCUAACUACGUG
rnacentral:rRNA from 1 species